GCCCGGCCUUCGCGGCGGCCUUCGGUGGUGGGCAGCUGAGGGACACGGGUCACCCGCCGCGUGGUGGAUUCCCGCCGCGGGCGGCGAAGGCCGCCGUAGUUAGCACCCUCCCGAAACACCGAAACGUUACCGUCUGCGGCUGGGGCUAGAGGGGAGGAGGCACCGGCCUGAAGCCGUCUGGCCGGCGGCGGUUGUGCGGUCUGGGCAGCGGGUCCUCCCGGCCUGGCAAAGGUCCUGCUGCCAUCCGAGGAAAUCUCCGUGUGCUUAUGGACGUUUACUGUGCAAGCCUCCCCACGCCUUACUGCCCCUGCCUUUGCAGACGAGGAGAGGGAGGCCGGAGAGCUUUUUGCCAAGGAUAACAAACUCGUUGUCCAAUGAGCUGGCCAGCCCCUGUAAUUGAACCUACUCCUCACCCUCUCAGCCUGGGAAACCUGCCUUUCGUGCCUCCAUCCACAACAGCCCACUUCUCAGUAAAAAGAAGAAGAUUGUCUCCCACAUUCAUGGACUCAGACAAGCAUGGACAGAUGCCUGACUCCAUUAUCACCUUCUCCUUCAUCAUGAAAAAGCCAAGCAAAAUCCUAGGGCACUUUAAGGCCACAAAAUGGGUCAGUAAUGCUGGGGGUGGGGGAAGCAAUGAAGAAAUUCCCUUGCUGUGCCUGCUGGAGAGUGAAUCAAGCAGAUACAAACCUACUUUCUGCAGCUGGGAGACAUCACUUGAGGGAUCCCUGAAGUGGUUCAGGGCGGGGGUCAUGCUGUUCUCAAAAUUUCCAGGGCAUCAGCAAGAAGAAGUAUCCUCUGUCAGCAUAUCCAGAAGUAUGAUUGAAAACUAGCAUGGGAAUCUUCUUCCCAGCAGAACACAGGAAAGCAAGAAUUUGUUGUUUGAAAAAGUCUGUCCGACAGGAAUAUUAAACAGGCUUUCACUUAGCAGGAUAUGUACAUGUUGGCUUCUAGAGACCAGGAAGGAGAGAAGUCACCUCAAGCAGCAGCUUAUUGGAGAACUGUGAGACGUUGUAUAGCCAGAGGAAGAAGCUGGCAAAAAUUGGCAGAGCCCUACAGAGGAACAAGCUCUUUUCUGUCCUUCAGCAUCCAGUAUGGCUCUUAGUUAUAUUCUGCUGUUUCACCUGACAGUAUUUUUAUUAUAAAGCCUUGGCUGCAGUGACCAUGAAAGGGUGGAGUUCAAGAUCCUUUGGGCAGCAAGGAGGGCACACAGCAAGCUCACUGCCCUGGCCUGCAGGAGAGCAGACUUCGGCCUCUUCAUGGAUCUGCUUGGUAGAGUACCAUGGGAUACAGCCCUGUAGGGAAGAGGGGCCCAAGAAAGCUGGUUAAUAUUCAAGGAUCACCUCCUCCAAGCUCAGGAGCGAUGCAUCCCAACAAAGAGGAAGUCAGGCAAAAACACCAGGAGGCCUGCAUGGAUGAACAAGGAGCUCCUGGACAAACUCAAACACAAAAAGGAAGCCUACAGAGGGUGGAAGCAAGGACAGGUAGCCUGGGAGGAAUACAGAGAAAUUAUCCAAGCAGCCAGGGAUCAGGUUAGGAAAGCCAAAGCCCUGAUAGAAUUAUAUCUGGCCAGAGACAUCAAGGGCAGCAAGAAAAGCUUCCAUAGGUACAUUGGUGAUAAAAGGAAGACUAGGGAAAAUGUGGGCUCCCGCCAGAAGGAAAUGGGAGACCUGGUUAUCCAGGAUAUGGAGAAGGCUGAGGUACUCAAUUACUUUUUUGCCUCAGUCUUCACCAGCCAGUGCUCCAGCCACACUGCCCAACAGAUGUAACAACAGAUGUAAUCUGCCUGGACUUGUGCAAAGUGUUUGACAUCGUCCCACACAACAUCCUUGUCUCUAAAUUGGAGAGACGUGGAUUUGACGGAUGGACCACUCGGUGGAUAAGGGAUUGGCUGGAUGGUCGUACUCAAAGACUCAACAGCUUGAUGUCCAAGUGGAGAGCAGUGACGAGUGGCGUUCCUCGGGUCGGUAUUAGGACUGGCACUGUUUAACAGCUUUGUUGGCAACAUGGACAGUGGGACAAGUUUGCUGAUGACACCAAGCUGUGUGGUGCUGUCAGCACGCUGGAGGCAAAGGAUGCCAUCCAGAGGGACCUUGACAGGCUUGAGAGGUGGACCCAUGCAAACCUCAUGAAGUUCAACAAGGCCAAGUGCAAGGUCCUGCACAUGGGUCAGGGCAAUCCCAAGCACAAAUACAGGCUGGGCAGAGAAUGGAUUAAGAGCGGACCUGAGAAGAAGGACUUGUCGGUGUUGGUUGACGAGAAGGUCAACAUGACCCAGCAAUGUGUGUUUGCAGCCCAGAAAGCCAACCAUAUCCUGGCCUGCAUCAAAAGAAGCGUGACCAGCAGGUCGAGGGAGGUGAUUCUCGCCCUCUACUCUGCUCUCAUGAGACCCCACCUGGAGUACUGCGUUCAGCUCUGGGGUCCCCAACAUAAGAAGGACAUGGACCUGUUGGAUUGAGUCCAGAGGAGGGCCAUGGAGAUGAUCAGAGGGCUGGAGCACCUCUCCUAUGAAGACAGGCUGACAGAGUUGGGAUUGUUCAGCCUGGAGAAGAGAAGGCUCCAGGGAGACCUAAUAGCAGCCUUCUAGUACAUAAGGGGUCCUACAAGAAAGCUGGAGAGGGACUUUUUACAAGGCACUGGAACAGGUUGCCCAGAGACGCUGUGGAUGCCCCAUCCCUGGAAACAUUCAAGG